rnacentral:tRNA from 1 species
AAGUUCAGUUGGUAGAGCACUCGUCUUUAUAACGAGAGGUCUCCAGUUCGAUUCUGGGUGGAGGCA